ensembl:lncRNA
UGAUUCCUUCACGUGUAAAUGUCAGAUUUGGAGCAUCUAAAACUUUACUCAGUCUCUGUUGUGCUAAUGAUGUCAUAGUCGAACGCCUGCGAGUUCACAUAUGCCACCACACUAUGUGUAGUCAGAACUUUUAGUGGGUGUUCUCUCACUGCAUGUGCUGUUUUCUAUAUUAUUUUGGCAACCCCUGCUGCAUGCUGUGCGCAUGUAGGGUGCCUUGCUUCUGUUGGACUCCACCUUAUGCUGACAUACAUAAGUACCUGUCUUUCUUUAUUCAAUCAUCUUCCGGGGGUGAGAGACCUCUGCAGAGCUCAAACGCCAGUUGCAAGAGCUCUCUAACAUUAGAAUCAUCAGCUGUGACCUAUAUGGUGUUAUUUCGGUACUUUACACGUCACACAGGCUUGAACGUUGUUUAUAUGGGGAGUUCCUCUUUUUUGUGUCUAUAUCUAUUAAUAUGCCUUGUGCACUAAAACUUCCUGUUUUUCAGUCUGGCUGAGCUCUUGUUUGUAAGUCAAAGGUGGCCUUGCUCUACAAGCCUUCAUUAUUAAAAUACACAUUAAAAAUAUUUCUUUUAUUCCUAACACCAGUCCCCCUUUUUCAUUUUUCACUUGAGAAAUGAACUAAUUCCUAAUUUAUCACAUUAAGUUUACUUCAAUACAAUUCAAUUGAAUUUUAUUUAUAUAGCGCUAAAUCACAACAAAAAUUGCCUCCAGGCGCUUCAUAGAUACAGAGAAAAACCCAACAAUCUUGUGACGCCCUAUGAGCAAGCACUUUGGCAACAGUGGGAAGGAAAAACUCCCUUUUAACAGGAAGAAACCUCCGACAGAACCACGCUCAGGUACGGGCAACCAUCUGCUGCGACCGCUUGGCGUGAGCUAACAGAGGCUUUGAAGAGAGAGACCUAAUAUUUAAUAAUCCACAUUUCACUGUUUUAUUCUUCGGUUCAGAUGUGGAUUCUGUAUUGUUCUUGCUUUGUUACUAUUGAUGUUUAAGUUGUUUUAUUGCUAGAUUUGGUUUGUU